ensembl:lncRNA
CUGUAGAAGUUGUCUUAUGGGUUUCAGCACUCCCCUCUUGUCAUGCUAUGCUCCUCACCCAAGCUAUAUGCUCUAGGGGUUUCCCCUAAAAGGGCUCCUUGGGGCCUUCUGUUUUUGGCAGGCUGACUGUGUGGGUGCUCUUGGAGGCUUGGUUGGCCCCUAACCCAGUUGCUUGUCAGGCCCUGCCUUGUGUGCAUGCUGCCAGCUGCUGGUUAGUAGGCCCUGCUCAGGAGGGGACCUGAGGGCUAGUGCUGGCUCACUGAUGGAUGGAGUCAGGGUCCAGAAGACUCCAGUGCUGUUGCCCCUAGAUGGUGGGUGAAGCCAGGUCCUGGGGUUAGUGCUGGAUUAUGAUAGGCAGUGCCAGGUCCUAAUGUUUGCUGCAGGGUCCAGGGGUCCCAGAGCUGGUGUCACAUCGCCUGGGGGAGCAGUUCCUGACACAGUUGGGUAUGGGGUCCCAGGUGUGCUGAAGCUUGUGUUGGCCUGUUAGUGGGCAAGGCCAGGACCCAAUUGGUCCCAGAGUAGGUUCUGGCCUGCUAAGGGCAGGCUGGGUCUGAAGCCUGGGGGAUUGCGUUUUCCUUGCGUCUGUCUGAUGUCUGGCCCUAAUGGGUGAGGCUGGUCUAGAAACUUGUGCACGUUUCCUGGAGGACAAAGCCAGUGCCUGCCCACAAGCGGGUGGGCCUUGUCUGGAGGAGGCUGUAGUUUCAGGAAGUCUUUAGGAGUAUGUGCUGAUGGGACUGUGUCUCUGCCCAGCUGUUUGGUCUGAGGCAUCCUGGUGAGGACACCUCCAGGAUGUCAGGUGGGGCCAAGUGUGGCCAGGUGUUGCGGCUAAUGAGCUAACAACGCCUCCAGCACCAGCUUCUAGAACGAGCUCCUAAAUAUGGCUCCCGCUGCCGCGCCCUCUCACCUCUUGUCUCUCCGGGAGACACUCCUAGAAGAAGCAGUUCCUGAAAAUGAAAGUCACUCAGUCAUGUCUGACUCUCAGAGACCCCAUGGACUGCAACCUGCCAGGAUCCUGUAUCUAUGUAAUUCUCCAGGCAUGAAUACUGGAGUGGGUUGCCAUUUCCUUCUCCAGGGGUCUUCCUGACCCAGGGUCUCCUGGGAUUGAACCCAGGUCUCCUGCAUUGGCAGGCAGAUUCACCAUCUCGUCCUAUAGCAGGACUAAAUUUCAUGGAUCUGAUAUGGACAAGAAUGACUGAGAUACUUUAGGAUACAAAGAUUAUUUUUAAAAAAGUUCCCUGAAUAGAGAUCAGACCUGAGACCCAGCAGUGAAAGCAACAAAUCCUUACCAAUGGACUGCUAAGGAAUUCACUACUUGUUUGAUUCUUUGUGCAAUUUAAUGAACCUUGUGUAUCACUAACAGUAUAAUAUAUAUUUGUAUUUAAAUUUUUCUUGAGAAUCUGGACAUCUUUUUAUUGGAUAAAAAGCCCACAAAUAGAAAAUAUGUAUCUUAUAAACC